rnacentral:rRNA from 1 species
UACGGAGGAGGCAAGCGUUAUCCGGAAUUACUGGGCGUAAAGCGUGCGUAGGUGGUUUGUUAAGUCUGAUGUGAAAGCCCUGGGCUCAACCUGGGAAUGGCAUUGGAUACUGGCUUACUAGAGUGCGGUAGAGGGAUGCGGAAUUUCCGGUGUAGCGGUGAAAUGCGUAGAGAUCGGAAGGAACAUCUGUGGCGAAGGCGGCAUCCUGGACCAGCACUGACACUGAGGCACGAAAGCGUGGGGAGCAAACAGG